rnacentral:rRNA from 1 species
AGCCUGAACGCUGGCGGCGUGGCUAAGACAUGCAAGUCGUACGGAGGUAGCAAUACCUCAGUGGCGAACGGGUGAGUAAUGAAUCGCUAACGUGCCCCGGACUCUGAGAUAGCCGGUCGAAAGGCCGGGUAAUACCAGAUGAUAUACCUUUAUCGCAUGAUAGAGGUCUCAAAGGUCCGCCGGUCUGGGAGCGGGCGAUUUCGUAUCAGCUAGUUGGUGAGGUAACGGCUCACCAAGGCGACGACGCGUAGCCGGACUGAGAGGUUGGCCGGCCACAUUGGGACUGAGACACUGCCCAGACUCCUACGGGGGCUGCAGUAACGAAUCUUCCGCAAUGCACGAAGUGUGACGGAGCGACGCCGCGUGUGGGACGAAGCCCUUCGGGGUGUAAACCACUGUCGAGGGGAAAGAAAGUUCUGAUCUACCCAGGAGGAAGAGGCGGCUAACUCUGUGCCAGCAGCCGC